AGCAGCCGCGGUAAUUCCAGCUCCAAUAGCGUAUAUUAAAGUUGUUGCAGUUAAAAAGCUCGUAGUUGAAUUUCGGGAUUAAUAUGCUGGUCGUGCCAUUGGUACGUACUAGUAUUAUUGAUUUCUCCCUUCUGAUGAAUCAUGAUGUCAUUAAUUUGAUGUCAUGGGGAAUCAGGACUGUUACUUUGAAAAAUUAGAGUGUUUAAAGCAGGCUCGCGCUUGAAUACGUUAGCAUGGAAUAAUGAAAUAGGACGUUUGAUUCUAUUUUGUUGGUUUCUAGGAUUGACGUAAUGAUUAAUAGGGAUAGUUGGGGGCAUUAGUAUUCAAUUGUCAGAGGUGAAAUUCUUGGAUUUAUUGAAGACUAACUACUGCGAAAGCAUUUGCCAAGGAUGUUUUCAUUAAUCAAGAACGAAAGUUAGGGGAUCGAAGACGAUCAGAUACCGUCGUAGUCUUAACCAUAAACUAUGCCGACUAGGGAUCGGAUGAUGUUAAUUAUGACU
rnacentral:rRNA from 1 species